rnacentral:rRNA from 1 species
GACGAACGCUGGCGGCGCGCCUAACACAUGCAAGUCGAACGGAGCUGAGAGAAGCUUGCUUUUCUUAGCUUAGUGGCGAACGGGUGAGUAACGCGUGAGUAACCUGCCCUGGAGUGGGGGACAACAGUUGGAAACGACUGCUAAUACCGCAUAAGCCCACGAUCCGGCAUCGGAUUGAGGGAAAAGGAUUUAUUCGCUUCAGGAUGGACUCGCGUCCAAUUAGCUAGUUGGUGAGGUAACGGCCCACCAAGGCGACGAUUGGUAGCCGGACUGAGAGGUUGAACGGCCACAUUGGGACUGAGACACGGCCCAGACUCCUACGGGAGGCAGCAGUGGGGGAUAUUGCACAAUGGGGGAAACCCUGAUGCAGCGACGCCGCGUGGAGGAAGAAGGUUUUCGGAUUGUAAAUUCCUGUCGUUAGGGACGAUAAUGACGGUACCUAACAAGAAAGCACCGGCUAACUACGUG